rnacentral:ncRNA from 1 species
CUUAUAAAGAGUAGUGGAGGGACUGGCCCGUAGAUACUACAGCAACCUAUUUAGUUAGGUGCUAAUGCCGAAUGAUAAGGGGCUAAAGAU